rnacentral:rRNA from 1 species
CGGGGUGAGUAAUGUCUGGGAAACUGCCUGAUGGAGGGGGAUAACUACUGGAAACGGUAGCUAAUACCGCAUAAUGUCGCAAGACCAAAGAGGGGACCUUCGGGCCUCUUGCCAUCGGAUGUGCCCAGAUGGGAUUAGCUAGUAGGUGGGGUAACGGCUCACCUAGGCGACGAUCCCUAGCUGGUCUGAGAGGAUGACCAGCCACACUGGAACUGAGACACGGUCCAG